GACGUAGGGCGCGAGCGUUGUCCGGAUUUAUUGGGCGUAAAGAGCUCGUAGGCGGCUUGUCGCGUCGACUGUGAAAUCCCGCGGCUCAACUGCGGGUCUGCAGUCGAUACGGGCAGACUAGAGGUAGGCAGGGGAGAGCGGAACUCCUGGUGUAGCGGUGGAAUGCGCAGAUAUCUGGAGGAACACCGGUGGCGAAGGCGGCAUCCUGGACCGGCAUUGACGCUGAGGCGCGAAAGCAUGGGGAGCGAACAGG
rnacentral:rRNA from 1 species